rnacentral:tRNA from 1 species
GGCUCUGUGAUGCAAUGGGGAGCAUGUUAGACAUCUAGGUGUUGAUUGAAUAAAUUCAUUCAAAGGUUGUGGGUUCAAGUCCCACCAGAGUCA